rnacentral:rRNA from 1 species
GACGAACGCUGGCGGCGUGCUUAACACAUGCAAGUCGAACGGAAAGGCCCCGCUGUUGUGGGGUGCUCGAGUGGCGAACGGAUGAGUAACACGUGAGUAACCUGCCCUUGACUUUGGGAUAAUUUCAGGAAACUGGGUCUACUAACGGAUAGGAGCUCCUGCUGCAUGGAGGGGGUUGGAAAGUUGCGGCGGUUGGGGAUGGACUCGGGGCUUAUGAUCGUGUUUGUGUGGUAGUGGCUUACCAAGGCUUUGGAGGGUAGCCGGCCUGAGAGGGUGACCGGGCCCAUGGGGACUGAGGGAGGGCCCAGACUCGAACGGGGGGCAGCGGUGGGGAAUAUUGCACAGUGGGCGGGAGUGUGAUACAGCGGCGCCGCGUGCGGGAUGACGGUCUUCGGGUUAUAAACCGCUUUCGCCUGUGACGAAGCGUGAGUGACGGUAAUGGGUAAAGAAGCACCGGCUAACUACGUG